rnacentral:rRNA from 1 species
AGAGUUUGAUCCUGGCUCNNAUUGAACGCUGGCGGCAUGCCUUACACAUGCAAGUCGAACGGUAGAGGGGCAACCCUUGAGAGUGGCGAACGGGUGAGUAAUAUAUCGGAACGUGCCCAGUCGUGGGGGAUAACGCAGCGAAAGCUGCGCUAAUACCGCAUACGAUCUAAGGAUGAAAGCGGGGGAUCGCAAGACCUCGCGCGAUUGGAGCGGCCGAUAUCAGAUUAGGUAGUUGGUGGGGUAAAAGCCCACCAAGCCGACGAUCUGUAGCUGGUCUGAGAGGACGACCAGCCACACUGGGACUGAGACACGGCCCAGACUCCUACGGGAGGCAGCAGUGGGGAAUUUUGGACAAUGGGCGCAAGCCUGAUCCAGCAAUGCCGCGUGCAGGACGAAGGCCUUCGGGUUGUAAACUGCUUUUGUACGGAGCGAAACGGUCUGGGUUAAUACCCUGGGCUAAUGACGGUACCGUAAGAAUAAGCACCGGCUAACUACGUGCCAGCAGCCGCGGUAAUAC